GUCACGGUAGUCAAGUGGUUACGACGGCUGAUUCGAAAUCAUCUCCUCUCUGAGGGCGCAGGUUCGAAUCCUGCUCGUGACU
rnacentral:tRNA from 1 species